rnacentral:rRNA from 1 species
GGCUCAGAUUGAACGCUGGCGGCAUGCUUUACACAUGCAAGUCGAACGGCAGCGGGGAGGAGCUUGCUUCUCUGCCGGCGAGUGGCGAACGGGUGAGUAAUACAUCGGAACGUGUCGAGAAGAGGGGGAUAACCACCCNGCAAGGGUGGCUAAUACCGCAUAAAUUCUGAGGAAGAAAGCUGGGGACCUAUGAAUAGGCCUAGCGCUUUUUGAGCGGCCGAUGUCGGAUUAGCUAGUUGGUGAGGUAAAGGCUCACCAAUGCGAAGAUCUGUAGCGGGUCUGAGAGGAUGAUCCGCCACACUGGGACUGAGACACGGCCCAGACUCCUACGGGAGGCAGCAGUGGGGAAUUUUGGACAAUGGGGGCAACCCUGAUCCAGCCAUGCCGCGUGUAUGAAGAAGCCCUUAGGGUUGUAAAGUACUUUUGUUAGGGAAGAAAAGUCAGCUGUGAAUAAUGGCUGAUACUGACGGUACCUAAAGAAUAAGCACCGGCUAACUACGUGCCAGCAGCCGCGGUAAUACGUAGGGUGCGAGCGUUAAUCGGAAUUAUUGGGCGUAAAGCGAGCGUAGACGGUUAUUUAAGCCAGAUGUGAAAUACCCGAGCCUAACUUGGGAGGUGCAUAUGGAACUGGGUAGCUAGAGUGUGUCAGAGGGAGGUAGAACUCCACGUGUAGCAGUGAAAUGCGUAGAGAUGUGGAAGAAUACCGAUGGCGAAGGCGGCCUCCUGGG